GUUCUCCUUUUAUUCCUCCUUUGUUGGACUAAUACUUUCCGAGACUUUGUACUCGAUGUUACUAGUAUACAUGAAACAUGAUAUCAUGGGGACAAAGUACAAAGUCUCGGAAAAUAUUAGUCCAACAAAGGAGGAAUAAAAGGAGAACA